GACAGUCAGUAGUUGGUCUGGCAUAAGCAGAAAGUUUCAGAUCACCUCUUGGCUGUGAG
rnacentral:pre_miRNA from 1 species